rnacentral:rRNA from 1 species
CUCGUAGACUCCUACGGGAGGCAGCAGUGAGGAAUAUUGGUCAAUGGACGCAAGUCUGAACCAGCCAUGUCGCGUGCAGGAAGACUGCCCUAUGGGUUGUAAACUGCUUUUAUACGGGAAGAAUGUGACCCUCGUGAGGGUUUUUGCCGGUACCGUAUGAAUAAGCAUCGGCUAACUCCGUGCCAGCAGCCGCGGUAAUACGGAGGAUGCAAGCGUUAUCCGGAUUCAUUGGGUUUAAAGGGGUGCGUAGGCGGAAUGGUAAGUCAGGGGUGAAAGUUUGCGGCUCAACCGUAAAAUUGCCUUUGAUACUGUCAUUCUUGAGUACAUUUGAGGUAGGCGGAAUGUGGCGUGUAGCGGUGAAAUGCUUAGAUAUGCCACAGAACACCGAUUGCGAAGGCAGCUUACUAAACUGUAACUGACGCUGAUGCACGAAAGCGUGGGGAUCGAACAGGAUUAGAUACCCUGGUAG